UGUUUACUUAAUAAUUUUUCAUUUUUUAGAUGCUCAGAAUGCAGGAAAUUGCAUUUCCGGGUUUCAAAUUACAAAAAUUUUCUGGGAAUUAUCUCUCUAAUCGGUAAUGAUAAAUUACGGUUAAUAUUCUUUUUUACUUUUUGUGCAUUUUCCCUUCUUUUAUUUCAAAUACAAGUAUAGUUAGCAUAAAUUUUAGAGCAAAUUUGGAUGCUCAGAAUGCAGGAAAUGGCAUUUCCGUGCUUCAAAUUUCAAAAAUUUCCUUCGGGAGUACAUUCCCACCCCCCCUCCCAUUCAUGCGUGGCAUAUUGGCCACACAUGUUGCCUCCAGCCAUUGCUAUCCCCCUCUAAUAUAUUACCUCACAGAAAGGUCCCUUUUCAAAAAAUGCCCCUCCCCCGCUCGGGAAAAUCCUUAAAAAAGGCCCUGUUGGUCGUGACCUGGGAUAGUUAAUACUUAAACAUUAAUUGGUUAACAUGCAAAAUUGAAAAGCGCAGCUUAAAUAAUAAUAAAAACAUUCAUAUAUAUGCUCGUUGAUAUUUCACAAUAUCAUCGAGUAGCCUGAAAUAUCAGGCAUUCUAAGGUUUCAAUAAAUAAACAUUCAAGAUUUACUUGGCAACUGGCUACAGUGUUACACCAAAUUUUGAAAUCAAAUCCCAUUUAUUACCGUCUAACAUAAAUGUUGCCAUUUGACGUUGCCUGGCCACGGUGGGAAUCCAACCUACAGCCUUUGGAAUACUAGCCCAAUGCUCUGCCAACUAAGCUGGCGGUCAGGUCAGUUCGAAUAUGUGAUAUUUCGGAACUGAGUCUAGUUUCUUUGAUAUCAAUGGAAUCCAGUAAUCAUGACUCAUGGUGAAUAUCAGAAUAUGAUGUUUGUGAUGUUACCCUGAGUAUAUAUACACACCGGGCAAGCUUGAGAAAUAUGCCUGGCCAAACCCCAACCUGCCUGCGUAGCUCAGUUGGCAAAGCAUCGGGCUGGUAUUCCAAAGGUUGUAGAUUCGAUUCUCACUGUGGCCAGGCAUAUUUGUCAAGCUUGCCUAGUGUGGAUAUACACUCUACACUCAUUUGAGCAAUAAUAAAUUAUUGCUCAAAUGAUUGUAUUUUUGAGUCUACUAGUUAGGCCAUUCUGACAUAUAAAUAGACAGUGCAUGUCAGUGACUCAGUGUUGGGAGUAUGUUAUGACAUAGUUAUGUUCUAGUGAAUUGUAUCGUACUAAUGUACCAAAGUAACCAAACUGACGUUGCCAGUGUAAAUUCUGUUUUAUUUACUCCAAAAGUUAUUUAAACUGGCAAUUUUUGAAAAGUUUGAAUUCUCGAGCUAGUCUAGCUAUGAACUACAACCACAGAGUAAGGAACUACAACAGUAAUAUUAAAAGUAUAUUACGUAUUACUCACACUGCAUCACGCACACAAAUUUCAGGGAAUAGGAUUAGUUGGAUUGGAAAUAAAUUAUAGUAAUAGUGGGUUGUGAUUUCCUUGAGAUUGUUGCAGGCUCUUCUUUGAGAUGAGCCUGUAUGAGAAGAUAGGUGGAUCCAGUGUCAAAGACAAUGUCCGCGACGUAAUGAGCAGGUAGUUACAGUUUCAUCAGUGUACAGUAUGAUAAUUCUGGAGCCUGUUAUUUCAACCUGGGUUUUGUGUGCCUCGUAGCAAAAACGUAGGUCUGGUUAAUUUUUUUAGAAACGUUCAUGCUUGAGAGUGAUAUUUUUCGUCAAUUGCAGCGGUACACAAGGCACAAACAUUCAUUAAAUGUUGUAUAAACUUUGAAACAAACCGGUUAUACUCUAC
rnacentral:lncRNA from 1 species